CGCGCAGGCGGUUCCUUAAGUCUGAUGUGAAAGCCCACGGCUCAACCGUGGAGGGUCAUUGGAAACUGGGGAACUUGAGUGCAGAAGAGAAGAGUGGAAUUCCACGUGUAGCGGUGAAAUGCGUAGAGAUGUGGAGGAACACCAGUGGCGAGGGCGACUCUUUGGUCUGUAACUGACGCUGAGGCGCGAAAGCGUGGGGAGCAAACAG
rnacentral:rRNA from 1 species